GAUGAACGCUGGCGGCGUGCCUAAUACAUGCAAGUCGAGCGAAUGGAUUAAGAGCUUGCUCUUAUGAAGUUAGCGGCGGACGGGUGAGUAACACGUGGGCAACCUGCCCAUAAGACUGGAAUAACUCCGGGAAACCGGGGCUAAUACCGGAUAACAUUUUGAACCGCAUGGUUCGAAACUGAAAGGCGGCUUCGGCUGUCACUUAUGGAUGGACCCGCGUCGCAUUAGCUAGUUGGUGAGGUAACGGCUCACCAAGGCAACGAUGCGUAGCCGACCUGAGAGGGUGAUCGGCCACACUGGGACUGAGACACGGCCCAGACUCCUACGGGAGGCAGCAGUAGGGAAUCUUCCGCAAUGGACGAAAGUCUGACGGAGCAACGCCGCGUGAGUGAUGAAGGCUUUCGGGUCGUAAAACUCUGUUGUUAGGGAAGAACAAGUGCUAGUUGAAUAAGCUGGCACCUUGACGGUACCUAACCAGAAAGCCACGGCUAACUACGUGCCAGCCGCCGCAGUAA
rnacentral:rRNA from 1 species